rnacentral:rRNA from 1 species
UACGUAGGGUGCAAGCGUUAAUCGGAAUUACUGGGCGUAAAGGGCGCGUAGGCGGUUCGGUAAGUCCUGUGUGAAAUCCCUCGGCUCAACUGAGGAACUGCACGGGAGACUGCCGGGCUUGAGUUCGGGAGAGGGAAGCGGAAUUCCGGGUGUAGCGGUGAAAUGCGUAGAUAUCCGGAGGAACACCGGUGGCGAAGGCGGCUUCCUGGACCGACACUGACGCUGAGGCGCGAAAGCUAGGGGAGCAAACGGG